GACGAACGCUGGCGGCGUGCUUAACACAUGCAAGUCGAACGGAAAGGCCCUGCUUUUGUGGGGUGCUCGAGUGGCGAACGGGUGAGUAACACGUGAGUAACCUGCCCUUGACUUUGGGAUAACUUCAGGAAACUGGGGCUAAUACCGGAUAGGAGCUCCUGCUGCAUGGUGGGGGUUGGAAAGUUUCGGCGGUUGGGGAUGGACUCGCGGCUUAUCAGCUUGUUGGUGGGGUAGUGGCUUACCAAGGCUUUGACGGGUAGCCGGCCUGAGAGGGUGACCGGCCACAUUGGGACUGAGAUACGGCCCAGACUCCUACGGGAGGCAGCAGUGGGGAAUAUUGCACAAUGGGCGGAAGCCUGAUGCAGCAGCGCCGCGUGCGGGAUGACGGCCUUCGGGUUGUAAACCGCUUUCGCCUGUGACGAAGCGUGAGUGACGGUAAUGGGUAAAGAAGCACCGGCUAACUACGUGCCAGCAGCCGCGGUGAUACGUAGGGUGCGAGCGUUGUCCGGAUUUAUUGGGCGUAAAGGGCUCGUAGGUGGUUGAUCGCGUCGGAAGUGUAAUCUUGGGGCUUAACCCUGAGCGUGCAUUCGAUACGGGUUGACUUGAGGAAGGUAGGGGAGAAUGGAAUUCCUGGUGGAGCGGUGGAAUGCGCAGAUAUCAGGAGGAACACCAGUGGCGAAGGCGGUUCUCUGGGCCUUUCCUGACGCUGAGGAGCGAAAGCGUGGGGAGCGAACAGGCUUAGAUACCCUGGUAGUCCACGCUGUAAACGGUGGGUACUAGGUGUGGGGUCCAUUCCACGGGUUCCGUGCCGUAGCUAACGCUUUAAGUACCCCGCCUGGGGAGUACGGCCGCAAGGCUAAAACUCAAAGGAAUUGACGGGGCCCCGCACAAGCGGCGGAGCAUGCGGAUUAAUUCGGUGCAACGCGUAGAACCUUACCUGGGUUUGACAUGGAUCGGGAGUGCUCAGAGAUGGGUGUGCCUCUUUUGGGGUCGGUUCACAGGUGGUGCAUGGCUGUCGUCAGCUCGUGUCGUGAGAUGUUGGGUUAAGUCCCGCAACGAGCGCAACCCUUGUUCACUGUUGCCAGCACGUUAUGGUGGGGACUCAGUGGAGACCGCCGGGGUCAACUCGGAGGAAGGUGGGGAUGACGUCAAGUCAUCAUGCCCCUUAUGUCCAGGGCUUCACGCAUGCUACAAUGGCUGGUACAGAGAGUGGCGAGCCUGUGAGGGUGAGCGAAUCUCGGAAAGCCGGUCUCAGUUCGGAUUGGGGUCUGCAACUCGACCUCAUGAAGUCGGAGUCGCUAGUAAUCGCAGAUCAGCAACGCUGCGGUGAAUACUUUCCCGGGGCU
rnacentral:rRNA from 1 species